rnacentral:rRNA from 1 species
UGCCAGCAGCCGCGGUAACACGAACCGGACGAACGUUGUUCGGAAUCACUGGGCGUAAAGGGCGCGUAGGCGGCUUUGGCAGUCGGAUGUGAAAGCCCGGGGCUCAACUCCGGAGGUGCAUCCGAUACUCCAAGGCUGGAGGUCGGAAGAGGAGGGUGGAACACCCAGUGUAGAGGUGAAAUUCGUAGAUAUUGGGUGGAACACCGGUGGCGAAAGCGGCUCUCUGGUCCGAACCUGACGCUGAGGCGCGAAAGCGUGGGGAGCAAACAGGAUUAGAUA